UACGAAGGGGGCUAGCGUUGCUCGGAAUCACUGGGCGUAAAGGGUGCGUAGGCGGGUCUUUUAAGUCAGGGGUGAAAUCCUGGAGCUCAACUCCAGAACUGCCUUUGAUACUGAGGAUCUUGAGUUCGGGAGAGGUGAAUGGAACUGCGAGUGUAGAGGUGAAAUUCGUAGAUAUUCGCAAGAACACCAGUGGCGAAGGCGGCUCACUGGCCCGAUACUGACGCUGAGGCACGAAAGCGUGGGGAGCAAACAGG
rnacentral:rRNA from 1 species